GGGACUGUAGCUCAGUGGCAGGCCAUCUCCUUGCACACAGAAGGCCUCAAGUUCAAUUCAUGACAGCUCCA